GAUGAACGCUGGCGGCGCGCCUAACACAUGCAAGUCGAACGAGCGAGAGAGAGCUUGCUUUCUCGAGCGAGUGGCGAACGGGUGAGUAACGCGUGAGGAACCUGCCUCAAAGAGGGGGACAACAGUUGGAAACGACUGCUAAUACCGCAUAAGCCCACGGGUCGGCAUCGACCAGAGGGAAAAGGAGCAAUCCGCUUUGAGAUGGCCUCGCGUCCGAUUAGCUAGUUGGUGAGGUAAUGGCCCACCAAGGCGACGAUCGGUAGCCGGACUGAGAGGUUGAACGGCCACAUUGGGACUGAGACACGGCCCAGACUCCUACGGGAGGCAGCAGUGGGGAAUAUUGCACAAUGGGGGAAACCCUGAUGCAGCGACGCCGCGUGGAGGAAGAAGGUCUUCGGAUUGUAAACUCCUGUUGUUGGGGAAGAUAAUGACGGUACCCAACAAGGAAGUGACGGCUAACUACGUG
rnacentral:rRNA from 1 species